GACGAACGCUGGCGGCGUGCUUAACACAUGCAAGUCGAACGGAAAGGCCCUGCUUUUGUGGGGUGCUCGAGUGGCGAACGGGUGAGUAACACGUGAGUAACCUGCCCUUGACUUUGGGAUAACUUCAGGAAACUGGGGCUCAUACCGGAUAGGAGCUCCUGCUGCAUGGUGGGGGUUGGAAAGUUUCGGCGGUUGGGGAUGGACUCGCGGCUUAUCAGCUUGUUGGUGGGGUAGUGGCUUACCAAGGCUUUGACGGGUAGCCGGCCUGCGAGGGUGACCGGCCACAUUGUGACUGAGAUGCGGCCCAGAGUCCUGCGGGAGGCAGCGGUGGGGAAUAUUGCACAAUGGGCGGAGUCCUGAUGCAGCAACGCCGCGUGCGAGAUGACUGCCUUCGGGUUGGAAACCGGGUGCGCCUGUGACGAAGCGUGAGUGACGGUAAUGGGUAAGGAAGCACCGGCUAACUACGUG
rnacentral:rRNA from 1 species